AUAAGCAUUUAUUGAGGAAGAAUUUGUGGACAAAGUCAUUUUCAUACUUGAAUCAAUGAGAGGGAACUUUUCUUAAGAAAAUUGAAAGGGAAAAUAAACGUGGCAUACCUACCCUAUAAAAUUCUAAAAAAGGCAUAACUUUAAGCCACGUCAAUACCUGUUAUAACAAUAGUAACAUCUCAUAUUAUAAUGAAACAAUUUCGGAUGCUUCAUCUACAAAUACCAUAACCAUCUGAUCCGAAAUUUGUUUCUUCCAAUAUGACAUGUUUGGAAAUGGAAAAAAAAAAGGAAUUCUAAAA